UGCAGCCGGGUAAGUCUUACACGACCAGCUCCCAUCCAACCUCCCCAGGGCCGGAAGGCAGCAAGGACACGAUGGUCGUAGCGGUGCGAUGUAAUCAGCUUACCCUUUU
rfam:Alistipes sp. CAG:831 genomic scaffold, scf138